rnacentral:lncRNA from 1 species
AAUUUUCUGGUUUGAAUGCUAUAUUUAAGACUGUCUGGGGAAAAGCUGUCAACCAUGUCCUAUUCCAAGGUGGCUUUAUUAAAGAAACUGUAAAAAAAAAAAAAAAAGUCUUAUUUAAGAUUCACAGAAUAUAUCUUUUCUUUGCUUAAACAUUUCCAGGGAGUAGCUGCUCCCAUGUCCUGAUCCUGAUGGGCAGUCCUCUUGGAUGUAAGCCGUGUGCUGACAUCAUGCACCUGUGCAGGGACAAAGGAGUCUUUCAGGCGAUUUCAUGGCAAUCCAUCGUUUGUGGCAUAUUCACGUUGGCACUAGCUUAACCUUGUGCAGGACGACGUGGGUUAGGUCCAAACACCAAGGAAGGCAGCCCUGUGCCAUGGAAAUCAAUGUUGUCCCACCUCCCUGGCCGGUAUCCCGAUUUUCUAAAGCCGCUGGGUUUGCAAGCGAUGUGAUUCUGGGCAGUUUCUGGAGCUCAGGGACUCCCUCGGAGCAGUUCUCACAGUCCGCUGUAGAUGGCGAUGUUGCACCAAGAACCUCCUCCACAGGGGCAGCGGCAGGCGGAGGAGCAUCCAGCUGUGGCCUGCGCGGCUCAACUCUGACUUUCUACUUCAGGAGGCUCUCGCUGACCUUUAACAAGUGUCCUUGUGUGUUUCAUCCAUGGAAAGUCCUUUGGAUGCAGCUCCAUUAG